rnacentral:rRNA from 1 species
UACGGGGGGGCAAGCGUUGUUCGGAAUUACUGGGCGUAAAGGGCGCGUAGGCGGCCCUCUAAGUCAGACGUGAAAUCCCUCGGCUCAACCGGGGAACUGCGUCUGAUACUGGAGGGCUUGAAUCCGGGAGAGGGAUGUGGAAUUCCAGGUGUAGCGGUGAAAUGCGUAGAUAUCUGGAGGAACACCGGUGGCGAAGGCGGCAUCCUGGACCGGUAUUGACGCUGAGGCGCGAAAGCUAGGGGAGCAAACGGG